rnacentral:rRNA from 1 species
AGAACGAACGCUGGCGGCAUGCCUAACACAUGCAAGUCGAACGAGACCUUCGGGUCUAGUGGCGCACGGGUGCGUAACGCGUGGGAAUCUGCCCUUAGGUACGGAAUAACAGUGAGAAAUUACUGCUAAUACCGUAUGAUGUCUUCGGACCAAAGAUUUAUCGCCUAGGGAUGAGCCCGCGUUGGAUUAGCUAGUUGGUGGGGUAAAGGCCUACCAAGGCGACGAUCCAUAGCUGGUCUGAGAGGAUGAUCAGCCACACUGGGACUGAGACACGGCCCAGACUCCUACGGGAGGCAGCAGUGGGGAAUAUUGGACAAUGGGCGAAAGCCUGAUCCAGCAAUGCCGCGUGAGUGAAGAAGGCCUUCGGGUUGUAAAGCUCUUUUACCGGGAAGAUAAUGACUGUACCGGAGAAUAAGCCCGCUAACUCCGUGCCAGCAGCCGC